rnacentral:lncRNA from 1 species
UUGUUGGAUAAAAAGGAAUGAACAAGAGCUCACCAGCCAUCAGAGAAUUGCAGCUAACCCUAGGAUCCAGGCAUUUUUGUUCACUCACCUCAGCCCUGAUCCACAUGCCUGCUGUUUCCAUCCCAGCCAUCUCUGCAAGCUGCCAAUCAUGCUCCUCUUGGCCAGAAGGUUUAGGGCUUUUGAGUUUGUACAGCCAAAUAUCCAGAGACUGGGUUCACUCCACCCAACACUUUUGGAUUUUGAUUUCGGCAUUAUUUUUCACACAGACUUAAUACAAUCUCUAACAUAAAUAUGUACUGCAUAAACAAAUUUUUCUUGGAUGCUAGACUAAAGAAAGAAUACCUGUUAAGAGAG